UAAUUUUAAGGAAAUUUUGCUGUUUUUAUACGACCGCAAAAUUUGAAAAAUUUUUCGUCGUAUAUUGCUAUCACGUUGGCGUCGUCGUCGUCGUCGUCGUCGUCGUCGUCGUCGUCGUCGUCGUCUGCGUCGUUGUCCGGCGUCCGAAUACUUUUAGUUUUCGCACUCUAACUUUAGUAAAAGUGAAUGGAAAUCUAUGAAAUUUUAACACAAGGUUUAUGACCACAAAAGGAAGGUUGGUAUUGAUUUUGGGAGUUUUGGUCCCAACAUUUUAGGAAUUAGGGGUCAAAAAAGGGCCCAAAUAAGCAUUUUCUUGGUUUUCGCACUAUAA
rnacentral:lncRNA from 1 species